CAACUUUCAGCAACGGAUCUCUUGGCUCUCGCAUCGAUGAAGAACGCAGCGAAAUGCGAUAAGUAAUGUGAAUUGCAGAAUUCAGUGAAUCAUCGAAUCUUUGAACGCACCUUGCGCUCCUUGGUAUUCUGAGGAGCAUGCCUGUUUGAGUGUCAUGGAA
rnacentral:rRNA from 1 species